UUUUAAACAUGAAAUAUUUAUUAAUAUUUACUAAACAGUAAGGCAGAAGCAAUAAGAAUCAUAACAUUUACUCGAUAUAAGGUAACAUAGGAAUAAUCAAAGCAUCACAGUCCAUUAUAAACACAGAGUGUCUUGUGGGAGGGAGAUAGUGGCCAUACAUUAAUAGAAAUCUAUUAGGCAGGUAUAAGUGAGGAACAUCUAUUUGGAAUAUCUUACAAUUUUAACUGCAAAUCUUGGUGUCCUUGGUUCAUUUAGUAACAAUCUAUACCACAUAAGGCUGAAUUUUAUAUUGACAGCUGUCCUUAUGGGUCUCAUUUCCUUCUUAUAGGAAAUCACUUUCUUCUGUUUUCUAGUAAAGAAGUAAUAGUUUUUCUUUCACCCUUAACAAUACACUGAGAAACUUUUUUCUUUAAAACAAUUUCAUGUAUGUAUGUGUUCAGUCUCUCAUCUACCACCCACCCAUCCACCUUUCCAUCUAUAUUUCUAUCUAUCUUCAUCUUUCCAUCUCUAUCUAACCAGUAUUUUGCUGGAUAGAUUUUAUUUUAAAUAGAAUAGAUCUAUUUAGCUAUCAGUCCAUAAAUCUAUGCAUUCAUAUUUCUAGCAUCUAUCUCAGUUUUCUAUCUAGCAUCUAUAAUCUAUCAUCUACCUAUCCAUCCACAUUUGUAUUUAUUAUCUACAUAUCUUCACCUCUUCCAUUAUACAUCUCCAGUUUUCCAUAUUCACCUAUCUAGAAUCUAUCUAUACAUCUGACUUACAGUCCAUAUAUCUAUCAUGUAUCUAUCAUCUACCCAUGUAUUUCUAUAUCUAUCUUUCUACUUACCUAUUUAUCUAUCUACCCAUCCAUCCAUCUAUCUAUUCAUCCAAACAUUCUCCUUAUUCAUUACAAGCAGGUUUCCUCAGUUUGGCUCUCUGGGAAAUGCAGAGCAGAUGACUUAGCUUAUGCUUUUUUUUUUUUUUUUUUUUUGAGACAUCUUUAAGCUAAACCAAGCCCAUCCUCUGGUAAUAAGAUCACAGCAAUGUAGAGGCAAAGCUUAUCUUACCCUGUCUAUUCAUUCUCCUACCCCCACUCCCACCCCAACCUUGCUCCCAAACUAUGGUGGCAAUAGGAGGUCAACCAGGCACUUUUUUGAGAAUUUCCCUUUCUCUCAGGCUGUAGAUGGCACUAGAUAGCCUAUUUUGUAUAAAAUCUAGAAACUAUAGAGCUUUCUUAGCUGAUCAAACCUUUCUUCAGCCAAUCAUUGUAAAGUGAUGACUUCCCCUAUCCCAAUCAGCAAGUUCCUAGCAAGAGAAAACAUUCUUUCCUAGCCUUGUGUAUAUUUUGUCAGUAGCUUCUUACAACCCCUCUGUUAAGCUUAUUCUAUUAAUUAUCUUGCUUUUCUUUUAAUUUUUGCCUCAUAUCUUUUAAUGUAUUAAAUCAGAGUUCUCUGGUGGUUAAUGAUUUAUAUUUGCCACAUAAGGUAAAGCUCAAGAAAUUUAACUUUUGGUUACUGAAGAACCCCAAAAUCUUUAUACAAUCUCUGUUAUUUGAUAGUUUCAAAAUUGUAAACUAUAAAAUUCUAAAAAACAACAAAAACAGAAACAUGCAGAUGAUUUCAUGAGCCAUAAUGCCCUACAACUGUUGAUCUCCUCGAUUGAAUUUCAAACAGGUCCUUUCAGUACAUUUUUUCUGAGGGAAAAUUCUCUAUCAGGUCUUCAGAGGUCCAUUUCUCUUCCAUUUUUUAGGAAAUAUUUUUCUUCAAUACUAUUUCUUCACAUUUUGAGUUUUAAAAGUUUUACUUAUAUAAAUGUUAUUUUAUUGUCCCCUUUCAGCAACCUAAUGGUUCACAUAAAGACAAUAUCUUGAAAUCAUAGGAUUGUAAACUUAGUUAGGUGGUAUGGUGAAUGGAGAAUGUGCCCUGGACCUUAUAAAAGUCUGAGUUAAAACCUAUCUUCAGAUACUUACUCGCUAGGAGACCUUGAACAAGUCACAUUACCUCUCUUUACACCCAUAAAAUGGGGAUAACAACACCUUCCUCUCCGGAUGGUAAAACUGAGUUAUUUGUCAAGUGCUUUGAAAAUUGUAAACACUAUAAAUUCUAGUUAUUAUUAUUAUUACCGGAAGGAACCCUAGAGGUCCACUAGUGAAAUCUUCUCAUUUUAAACAUAAGGAAACAAAUCCAAGGUAAAAUUGGUUCUCUUUGGGGUAUGUGAUUAAAGGAUAGAGAAAUAGUUAAGAGAUGUGAGGGUCAAAAUGGUAAAAUAGCCUUUAUGAGAGGAUUGAUAAAAAGAGGUGUCCCUCUGCUACCUACUACCAGUAUAAAAGUCACAACCACUUUGCUACUCAUUUUCCUUAUUUGUUAAGUGAGGUUGAACUAGAUAUUCUCCGAUUGUAAUUAUUUGUUAAUAUGAAGACUCAUUUCCCUGACCUGCUAUGGGAAAAAUGCUUUGCAAAGUUUUAAUUGCUAUAUUAUAGUUGUCAGUGAUAGUUGAUGCUGCUGUUCUACUACUAUUACUACUUUACUAUUAGUUAUUUCUACUCCUACUUUUACUAUUUCUAUUCCUAUUAUUACUACUAUUAUUAGUACUUCCCUUACUGCUAUUCCUACUACUAUUGCUACAAUUAUUACUAUUACUACCACUACCAUCACUACUACUGCUACUACUACUAAUUAUAGGUUCCCUAUUACUUUAGAAUUCCCCAGGUUCAGUGAAGGAUGCUUUGGGACCCAGUCACAGUUAUGCAAAUAUAGAUCAACUCCACAUGCAAUUAAUUCUCUACUAACAGACCAGAAAAGCUUUUGAUUGGGGUAGAAUAGAGAGGUAAAUGACGUAAGAAAGCUCCUUCAUCCACAAACUUCCACAGAUUCACAUGUUGCCUUCUGAGGAGUCUUUCCUAGAAAAUCUAUCUUACUAUGGUAACAUAAUAGCAUCAUGUUCCCGAUUGAUCGGAUGUCUUCUCGAGACUUCAUCUCCCCACACGACGGACCUUACUGCCGCUGCUCCAUCUGAGUCUGCAGUUUCCCCUACCUCUAAAGCUCUUCUGAAAAGCUACUGUUGUUGUUUCCUGGAGUUGCGAUCUACAUGUUAAUUUCCAUUAAGUACUUGUCAUUUUAGAGGUCGCUUGUUGGGUUUCUCCUUCAAAGGGAGUGCUGUUGCUCUUUUUUUCCCCUCCAUCACCAGCAUCCCCUUUAAUAAAACAGACAAACUAGCGGGUGACAGGGAGGGGAAAGGGGAUGGGAAUAUCGCCAUUUACAACCACAAAAAACCAAUUUGCACGUGGCUAACACCUGUUAGCGGGGGAGCGGGGAGGGAGGGGCAGGGCUGCCCCAGCGCCGGUGGGCAGCAGCGGCGGAGCCCAGGACCCCGCCGCAUCUAUUUGUAAAGGAUGUCGUAGUGUCCGGGUCUGUACAGAAGGUACACCUUGGUCUCGGAGCCCUCAGAGAAGACGUGGGUGUUGGUGGUGCCGCCCUCACCGCGGUCCAUGUACUCCACCUGGAUGGAGAUGCUGAGGGCCUGCGCCAGCGCCAUGAUGUGGAUGUGGUCACUCUCCUUGCACAUGGGCUCCACCUCCUGCUGACAAAACUCCUUGACCGUCUGUCCCCCCUCGAUGAAAUGCUCGAAGAACUUGCUCUCACGCUGCAGGUGGCCUGAGGUGAGCAGCCGCAGGUAAACCACCAGGUAGUCGGAGGUGCUCUGGUCAUUGAAGGAGGCCAGCAGUUCCGUUGCUGAGGUUCCCCUCUCCACCUGUUCGAUCAGGUCCAUGAAUGUGUUGUGGAAAUCUUCAAUUGUGAACUCGGCGAAGCCCUGGGCCACCAGGUCGUCCUUGCUCUUGGCGGAGACGGCUUUGAGCCUCUGCAGCUCCUUCUUGUCCUCCAGAAGGGCCUCCAGGUGGGAGAAGCCGAAAGCCCGGUAGAAGCAGUUGCCAUCGGGCCUGGUCUUUCGGAUGUAGGAGUACUUUUUGUGUAGGUCCUUGAUCUUCUGUUGGUAGAUGUUGUCAUCUUCGGCGUACUCCUUGUAAAGCACGGAGAGCUCCAGGCGCUCGGACACCAGGGGAUUUUGAACAGCAAUCUCUUGCUGAAUUCGGUCCUGCUGGGCCAUGAUGGCUUCAUCGUAGGCCAAACUGUUAAUUCCUUCAGAGUCACUUUCCAAUGGCUCCGGAUUCUGCUGAUGAGGUUCCUCCGCCGCCAUCUUUAAACAGCAUAUGGACUGCCUCGCCAACGAGCGUGCAACUGCGCAAUCAGCUCUGGUGUCAGUUCCAUAGUCACGGCGGGGGUGGCCCACAAAAAGCUCUUUUUCCCAACCUACUCACUAGCUUCCCAGAACAAAGUUUCAGAUACAGACAGUGAUCUCCAGUGCUCUUUGAUCCAGGGUAACUUGAAGCCAGCAUAGCAGGUAGAAGGGGAUUGCCAGCCAGCCCGACAGGACAACCCCCAAAGUCAAAGUAUCCAGGAUCCAAAUCCAAGGAGGGAUUGGAAGUGAGAACAACCUGAAACAGAAGACAAAUACCUCAGCACAUUUCACCAAGUGAGGGUAAAAAAGACGGAGACCACUAGAAAAACAUUUGAGGAAUGGUCAACAUGAUAUAUGCU
rnacentral:lncRNA from 1 species